rnacentral:misc_RNA from 1 species
GAUGAAGAACGUAGCGAAAUGCGAAAAGUAGUGUGAAUUGCAGAAUUCAGUGAAUCAUCGAAUCUUUGAACGCACAUUGCGCCCAUUAGUAUUCUAGUGGGCAUGCCUGUUCGAGCGUCAUUUCAACCCUUAAGCCUAGCUUAGUGUUGGGAAUCUGCUGUAUUGCAGUUCCUCAAAUACAACGGCGGAUCUGUAACAUCCUCUGAGCGUAGUAAAUUUUUAUCUCGCUUUUGUUAGGUGUUGCAGCUCUCAGCCGCUAAACCCCCCAAUUUUUGUGGUUGACCUCGGAUCAGGUAGGAAUACCCGCUGAACUUAAGCAUAUCAAUAAGCGGAGGA